rfam:Felis catus isolate Cinnamon breed Abyssinian chromosome C1, whole genome shotgun sequence.
GCCUGGGUGGCUCAGUUGGUUAAGUGUCCGACUUCGGCUCGGGUCGUGAUCUCACAGUUUGUGGGUUCGAGCCCCGCGUCAGGCU